UUCCAGGUAAAUCCGGUUCACUUUAACACUGAGGCGUGAUGACGAGGCACUACGGUGCUGAAGCAACAAAUGCCCUGCUUCCAGGAAAAGCCUCUAAGCAUCAGGUAACAUCAAAUCGUACCCCAAACCGACACAGGUGGUCAGGUAGAGAAUACCAAGGCGCUUGAGAGAACUCGGGUGAAGGAACUAGGCAAAAUGGUGCCGUAACUUCGGGAGAAGGCACGCUGACACGUAGGUGAAGUGAUUUACUCAUGGAGCUGAAGUCAGUCGAAGAUACCAGCUGGCUGCAACUGUUUAUUAAAAACACAGCACUGUGCAAACACGAAAGUGGACGUAUACGGUGUGACGCCUGCCCGGUGCCGGAAGGUUAAUUGAUGGGGUCAGCGCAAGCGAAGCUCCUGAUCGAAGCCCCGGUAAACGGCGGCCGUAACUAUAACGGUCCUAAGGUAGCGAAAUUCCUUGUCGGGUAAGUUCCGACCUGCACGAAUGGCGUAAUGAUGGCCAGGCUGUCUCCACCCGAGACUCAGUGAAAUUGAACUCGCUGUGAAGAUGCAGUGUACCCGCGGCAAGACGGAAAGACCCCGUGAACCUUUACUAUAGCUUGACACUGAACAUUGAGCCUUGAUGUGUAGGAUAGGUGGGAGGCUUUGAAGCGUGGACGCCAGUCUGCGUGGAGCCGACCUUGAAAUACCACCCUUUAAUGUUUGAUGUUCUAACGUGGACCCGUAAUCCGGGUUGCGGACAGUGUCUGGUGGGUAGUUUGACUGGGGCGGUCUCCUCCUAAAGAGUAACGGAGGAGCACGAAGGUUGGCUAAUCCUGGUCGGACAUCAGGAGGUUAGUGCAAUGGCAUAAGCCAGCUUGACUGCGAGCGUGACGGCGCGAGCAGGUGCGAAAGCAGGUCAUAGUGAUCCGGUGGUUCUGAAUGGAAGGGCCAUCGCUCAACGGAUAAAAGGUACUCCGGGGAUAACAGGCUGAUACCGCCCAAGAGUUCAUAUCGACGGCGGUGUUUGGCACCUCGAUGUCGGCUCAUCACAUCCUGGGGCUGAAGUAGGUCCCAAGGGUAUGGCUGUUCGCCAUUUAAAGUGGUACGCGAGCUGGGUUUAGAACGUCGUGAGACAGUUCGGUCCCUAUCUGCCGUGGGCGCUGGAGAACUGAGGGGGGCUGCUCCUAGUACGAGAGGACCGGAGUGGACGCAUCACUGGUGUUCGGGUUGUCAUGCCAAUGGCACUGCCCGGUAGCUAAAUGCGGAAGAGAUAAGUGCUGAAAGCAUCUAAGCACGAAACUUGCCCCGA
rnacentral:rRNA from 1 species